AGUGAACGCUGGCGGCAGGCCUAACACAUGCAAGUCGAACGGCAGCACGGCAGUAGCAAUACUGUGGGUGGCGAGUGGCGGACGGGUGAGGAAUACAUCGGGAUCUACCCUGUUGUGGGGGAUAACGUAGGGAAACUUACGCUAAUACCGCAUAAGAACUGAGGUUGAAAGCGGCGGACCGCAAGGCGUCGCGCGAUUGGAUGAACCGAUGUCCGAUUAGCUAGUUGGCGGGGUAAAGGCCCACCAAGGCGACGAUCGGUAGCUGGUCUGAGAGGACGACCAGCCACACUGGAACUGAGACACGGUCCAGACUCCUACGGGAGGCAGCAGUGGGGAAUAUUGGACAAUGGGCGCAAGCCUGAUCCAGCCAUGCCGCGUGGGUGAAGAAGGCCUUCGGGUUG
rnacentral:rRNA from 1 species